AGUGAACGCUGGCGGUAGGCCUAACACAUGCAAGUCGAACGGCAGCACAGUAAGAGCUUGCUCUUACGGGUGGCGAGUGGCGGACGGGUGAGGAAUACAUCGGAAUCUACUUUUUCGUGGGGGAUAACGUAGGGAAACUUACGCUAAUACCGCAUACGACCUACGGGUGAAAGCAGGGGAUCUUCGGACCUUGCGCGAUUGAAUGAGCCGAUGUCGGAUUAGCUAGUUGGCGGGGUAAAGGCCCACCAAGGCGACGAUCCGUAGCUGGUCUGAGAGGAUGAUGAGCCACACUGGAGCUGAGACACGGUCCAGACUCCUACGGGAGGCAGCAGUGGGGAAUAUUGGACAAUGGGCGAAAGCCUGAUCCAGCCAUACCGCGUGGGUGAAGAAGGCCUUCGGGUUGUAAAGCCCUUUUGUUGGGAAAGAAAAGCAGCAGGUUAAUACCCCGCUGUUCUGACGGUACCCAAAGAAUAAGCACCGGCUAACUUCGUG
rnacentral:rRNA from 1 species